rnacentral:lncRNA from 1 species
GGGCCAUAGAACCCUGAGAUCAUGACCUGAGCAGAAAUCGAGAGUUGGAUGCUCAACUAACUGAGCCACCCAGGUGCACCCUGGUUGUUAUUAAUUAUUACCAUUUUGAUAAUCAUUCAUAGUUUAGGUAGGCAUUUUAGACAUUAGUAAAUUUAAUAGCAAAGUUUUCGUUGUUGAGAUAUUUGUGUUUCAUUUGCACAGUUAAUCAUCGUCUUGGUUGUCAUUGGCCUGGAAGGGAAUUUUUCUUUUAAAGUUAUUAGUUUAUUUAGGAUUUAUGCAAUUCCCUCUCCUACCUCCAGAAAAGAUUUAGGUGGCUGGCUUUUCAUUUCUAAAGUUUUAAUAAGAGAAUUAAAAAUAAAUAACUCAAGUGCCUUAACCAUUUUUCAGGCCCUGGGUUUUUCGUGCUUGCUUACAGGUUGACAGUUUGCAAAUCGGAAUGGAGAUUUGAUAUAGGCUGGGGUAAGGAGAUGGAUUCUCAUCUAGUGACUAGAGUACUGAAUUGAAAUUUUAGAAAAAACUUGGAUUCUUUGUUUAACUGUGUCACAGAUUUGCCAUAACUGUAGGCAAACUAUUUGAUUCUUUUCUUAUUUUUAUUUUGUGUUUGUAAUCUCCUUGAUUCACAGUAGCUUAUAAGAAUUAAUAUGAAUGUUUAUAAAUAGCAUAUAUUUACCUUGGACGAAAAGGGCUAUGUAUAAACUAUAUCUUAUUCUAUUUUUGUUGGUUUGGGGCAGGGUUUUUAGCCUUAUCUGCGUAUCACAAACCCUGAGAGCCUGUAAUAUAUUCAGAUCCAAGGCAUCACUCUCCUAUCCUAAGAGCCUGAUUCCUUUGGGACCCUAACGUUGUGUGUGUGUGUGUGUGUGUGUGUGUGUGUGUGUGUGUGUGUAUGCCUGUCUGGUUGUCUAUGUAUCUGUCUAUCUACGUAUCUAUCUAAACUCCACAGGUGGUCCUAACCUGCAGCUAGAUGGAAAAUAUUGGCAUAAAAGAAACACCCAAUCUGUGUACUUGGUUCUUUCUCUUACACUGUGUCUAUUGACCAUUUUGUUGCUUAUUAAAUAUGGGCAGAUCUAUUAGUUUUCUACGGCUGCUAUAACAAAUUGCCGCAAACUUGGUCACUUAAAAUAACACAUUUAUUAUGUGAUAGUUCUGGAAGUCAGAGACCCAAAAUGGUUUUAAAAGGCUAAAAUCAAAUUAUUGGCAGGGCUGAUUCCUUCUGGAAGCUCUAAAGGAGAAUUUGUUUCCUUGUCUCUUCUAGCUUCUAGAGGCUUUCUGCACUCCUUGACUCCUGGCCCCACAUUCCUACCUCUGCUUUUGUCAUUACAUUCUCCUCUGAUUUUACCUACCUUCAUCUACAAGGACCUUUGUAAUUACAUUAGACACACCUGGAUAAUACAAGAUAAUCUCCCCAUCCCCUGGAAUACAGGAUAAACUUCCCAUCCAAGACCCUUAAUCACAUCUACAAGGUCCCGUUUAUCAGGUAAGGAAAUAUAAUCACAGGUUCUGGGGAUUAGGACAUGGACAUAUUUGGGAGAGGCUAUUGUUCUGUCUACUGCAGCAGGAAAAAAAAUUCAGACCCUCCCAUUUUUCUCAUUUAAGUGCAGAAAACUCUGAGUCAGCCACAUCUCUUUUCUACAGUUGCUGAUAAGCAAGAGAGGGACAUUUUCAAAGGCUGGAAGUGAUGAUACCAUAUUUAGAAAUUUUAUUUUAUUGAUUUUUUUAGAAGGCUACCAAUUUUUAAAUUUUCACAUGCCUAGGAACUUGUUUCAGAAAUGGAUUGCAUAACAUUUGAAUCUCAUCAGCUAUGAAACCGUGCAUUGCUAAAGUUUCCCUCAGGUAGAGUACUUUUCUGUCACUAAAACAGUAAUUCUCAACAGAGUGUGUAUUCAGCCCCUAGAUAGGAGAAGUUGAGAUUCCUAACCAUAAGGUCAAGGUCAAAGAACUCACUCCUAAUGGUCAAUAUAUUUGUAUUUCAAUAUAACUGAUUUCCUUGUAAUUCUUUUUUUUUUUUUUUUGCUAUAUGCAAAUAAAAACAUUGUUCUAUAAUGGGGUCCACAGGCUUCACCAGAAUACCAAACGAGUUCUCGUGGCAUUAAAAUGAUUAGGAACUCCAAUGAGAGGCCAACAAACAGGAUCCUAAGAGAAUUGUGUCACCAAAAAGAUGAUCAUGGGAUGGAGGAAGCUGCCCAGGGGAAGGGGAAGCUCCUGGCAAUGGUUUUUUCAAUUCUCACUGCUUAUUGGGAUGAUGAGCAGAAGGUGGGUAGUGCCUCUUAAAACUAUCAGUGCCUGGGACACACCAACAGAUUCUGGUUUGAUUGUUCAUGGGAGGGUUCUACAUCUGUCGUGAAAGAAGUGAUGCUGAGUUUGGUCUUGUGAAAGUGAAGUAGAAUGGAAAGACCUGUGAGAAGUUAAGGGCUCAGUAAAGGAACUGGAAAUGGUUACACAGACACCGGCAGAAAGUCCAUUAGCUCCUCCUGCCUCUGCCCUGGUUCUGCUGCCAAACACUGUCUGCUGAAGACUCUGUGACCUAUGAGCAGGAUAGAACCAAAUUUAGACACUUGGCAACUCAACCACUUAGCCAGCUCAUUUCCUAGUAGGGAAUACAGGUUUCUAAUAGUGAAGAAUGUGGGCCUGAGCCAAACUGCUUGGGGGCUAAAACCCUGCUCCCCUGCUUAUUAGCUAUGUGACAUUUGGAAAUGUGCUUAAUCGCUUUGCUUUAGUUUUCUCACCAAUAGAAUCACUUCCUAAGAUAGUGCCGACAGCUAAAUGGGGUAGGCUACUUUUGUUGGCUCCAUUCACAGAUGGUACUUAGAGAUAACAAUAUCAUAGCUGGUGUCACUGACUGAAUGUGCCCCCCUCAAAGUACAUAUGUUCAACCCCUAACCCCCGAUGUCACAGUAUUAGGCAGUGUGGAAUCUUUGGGGGGGGGGGUAAUUAGUUUAGAUGAGGUCAUGAGAGUGGAGCCCUAAUGAUGGGAUUAGUGUCCUUAUAAGAACAAAAAAAGAGCUGGGGAUCCCUGGCUGGCUCAGCGGUUUAGCACCUGCCUUCGGCCCAGGGCAUGAUUCUAGAGUCCUGGGAUCAAGUCCCACAUCAAGCUCCCUGCAUGGAGCCUGCUUCUCCCUCUGCCUGUGUCUCUGCCUCUGUGUGUGUGUGUGUGUGUGUGUGUAUGUGUGUGUGACUCAUGAAUAAAUAAAUGAAAUCUUAAAAAAAAAAAAAAAA